rnacentral:rRNA from 1 species
GACGUAGGGGGCCAGCGUUGUUCGGAAUUACUGGGUGUAAAGGGUUCGUAGGCGGUGCGGCAAGUUGGGGAGUGAAAUCUCUGGGCUUAACCCAGAGGCUGCUUCCAAAACUGCUGUGCUUGAGUGUGGGAGAGGCGCGUGGGAAUUGCAGGUGUAGCGGUGAAAUGCGUAGAUAUCUGCAGGAACACCCGUGGCGAAAGCGGCGCGCUGGACCACUACUGACGCUGAGGAACGAAAGCUAGGGGGAGCAAACAGGG